rnacentral:rRNA from 1 species
UUGAUCAUGCUCAGAUUGAACGCUGGCGGCAGGCCUAACACAUGCAAGUCGAACGGUAGCACAGAGAGCUUGCUCUCGGGUGACGAGUGGCGGACGGGUGAGUAAUGUCUGGGACACUGCCUGAUGGAGGGGGAUAACUACUGGAAACGGUAGCUAAUACCGCAUAACGUCGCAAGACCAAAGAGGGGGACCUUCGGGCCUCUUGCCAUCAGAUGUGCCCAGAUGGGAUUAGCUAGUAGGUGGGGUAACGGCUCACCUAGGCGACGAUCCCUAGCUGGUCUGAGAGGAUGACCAGCCACACUGGAACUGAGACACGGUCCAGACUCCUACGGGAGGCAGCAGUGGGGAAUAUUGCACAAUGGGCGCAAGCCUGAUGCAGCCAUGCCGCGUGUAUGAAGAAGGCCUUCGGGUUGUAAAGUACUUUCAGCGGGGAGGAAGG